rnacentral:rRNA from 1 species
CGAAAGGGCGAGGAAUAGAUUCCUACAUACCCAGAGGUCGGGGAUACCUCGGAGAAAUCCGAAUCAAUACCCGAUGUGGUCGAGAGACCAAAGGCUUGCCGCCUUUGGAGUGGGGAAUCUCCUAUCAGCUAGUUGGUGAGGUAAUGGCUCACCAAGGCGAAGACGGGUAGCGGGUGUGAGAGCACGGCCCGCCGCAUCGAGACUGAGACACUGCUCGGACUCCUACGGGAGGCUGCAGUAACGAAUCUUCCGCAAUGCGCGAAAGCGUGACGGGGCAAUGCCGCGUGUGGGAUGAAGCCCUUCGGGGUGUAAACCACUGUCAGGGUCCACCAAAAACACGAGGAGACCCAAAGGAAGAGCCGGCUAACUCUGUGCCAGCAGCCGCGGUAAUACAGAGGGCUCGAGCGUUAAUCGGAAUCACUGGGCUUAAAGCGUGCGUAGGCGGAUCUGAAGGCGCCUUGUGAAAUCCCUCGGCUCAACCGAGGAACUGCUUGGCGAACCACGGAUCUUGAGGUCGGUAGAGGUGGUCGGAACGAUAGGUGGAGCGGUGAAAUGCGUAGAUAUCUAUCGGAACGCCAAUGGUGCAGACAGGCCACUGGGCCGCACCUGACGCUGAGGCACGAAAGCGUGGGGAUCAAACGGGAUUAGAUACCCCGGUAGUCCACGCCGUAAACGAUGCGCACUUGGUCGAGGGAGUUGAACGCUCUCCCGGCCGUAGAAAAAUUGAUUAGUGCGCCGCCUGGGGAGUACGGUCGCAAGAUUAAAACUCAAAGGAAUUGACGGGGGCUCACACAAGCGGUGGAGCAUGUGGCUUAAUUCGAAGCAACGCGAAGAACCUUAUCCUAGGCUUGACAUGCACGGAUUAGUGGCCGGAAACGGUCAUGACGCUCGCAAGAGUGGAACGUGCACAGGUGCUGCAUGGCUGUCGUCAGCUCGUGCUGUGAAGUGUCGGGUUAAGUCCCUCAACGAGCGCAACCCCUGUCGUUAGUUGCAAACGCGUCAUGGCGUGGACUCUAACGAGACUGCCGGUGUCAAACCGGAGGAAGGUGGGGAUGACGUCAAGUCCUCAUGGCCCUUAUGCCUAGGGCUGCACACGUGCUACAAUGGCAUUUGAC